AUUGAAUGCUGGCGGCAGGCCUAACACAUGCAAGUCGAGCGAGCGGCGGACGGGUGAGUAAUGUCUGGGAAACUGCCUGAUGGAGGGGGAUAACUACUGGAAACGGUAGCUAAUACCGCAUACCAUCAGAUGUGCCCAGAUGGGAUUAGCUAGUAGGUGGGGGAACGGCUCACCUAGGCGACGGUCCCUAGCUGGUCUGAGAGGAUGAUCCGCCACACUGGGACUGAGACACGGCCCAGACUCCUACGGGAGGCAGCAGUGGGGAAUAUUGGACAAUGGGGGGAACCCUGAUCCAGCCAUGCCGCUUGUGUGAAGAAGGCCUUAUGGUUGUAAAGCACUUUCAGCGGGGAGGCGUUACCCGCAGAAGAAGCACCGGCUAACUCCGUGCCAGCAGCCGCGGUAAUUC
rnacentral:rRNA from 1 species